AAUAGAUACCCCGGUAGUCCACGCCGUAAACGAUGGAUACUAGCUGUUUGAGCGCAAGUUUGAGUGGCUAAGCGAAAGUGAUAAGUAUCCCACCUGGGGAGUACGGGCGCAAGCCUGAAACUCAAAGGAAUUGACGGGGGCCCGCACAAGCGGUGGAGCAUGUGGUUUAAUUCGAUGAUACGCGAGGAACCUUACCAGGGCUUAAAUGUAGAUUGACGUAUUUGGAAACAGAUAUUUCUUCGGACAAUUUACAAGGUGCUGCAUGGUUGUCGUCAGCUCGUGCCGUGAGGUGUCAGGUUAAGUCCUAUAACGAGCGCAACCCCUGUUGUUAGUUGCCAGCGAGUAAUGUCGGGAACUCUAGCAAGACUGCCAGUGUAAACUGUGAGGAAAGUGGGGAUGACGUCAAAUCAUCACGGCCCUUAGUCCCUGGGCCACACACGUGCUACAAUGGCCGGUACAGAGAGCAGCCACUUAGCGAUAAGGAGCGAAUCUAUAAAGCCGGUCACAGUUCGGAUCGGAGUCUGCUAAC
rnacentral:rRNA from 1 species